rnacentral:rRNA from 1 species
AGUCAAGUAAUUAAGUGCAUGUGGUGGAUGCCUUGGCAGUCAGAGGCGAUGAAAGACGUGAUAGCCUGCGAAAAGCUCCGGGGAGGCGGCAAAUAUCCUUUGAUCCGGAGAUGUCUGAAUGGGGGAACCCACCUACUUUAAGGUAGGUAUUGCAACAUGAAUACAUAGUGUUGCAAGGCGAACGAGGGGAAGUGAAACAUCUCAGUACCCUUAGGAAAAGAAAUCAAUUGAGAUUCCCUCAGUAGCGGCGAGCGAACGGGGAUCAGCCCAUUAAGUUAUGUGUGUUUUAGUGGAACGCUCUGGGAAGUGCGAACGUAGAGGGUGAUAUUCCCGUACACGAAAGGGCACACAUAAUGAUGACGAGUAGGGCGAGGCACGUGAAACCUUGUCUGAAUAUGGGGGGACCAUCCUCCAAGGCUAAAUACUCCUGACUGACCGAUAGUGAACCAGUACCGUGAGGGAAAGGCGAAAAGAACCCCUGUGAGGGGAGUGAAAUAGAUCCUGAAACCGCAUGCAUACAAGCAGUGGGAGCACCUUCGUGGUGUGACUGCGUACCUUUUGUAUAAUGGGUCAGCGACUUAUAUUCAGUAGCGAGGUUAACCGUAUAGGGGAGCCGUAGAGAAAUCGAGUCUUAAUAGGGCGUUUAGUUGCUGGGUAUAGACCCGAAACCAGGCGAUCUAUCCAUGAGCAGGUUGAAGGUUGGGUAACACUAACUGGAGGACCGAACCCACUGUCGUUGAAAAGCCAGGGGAUGACUUGUGGAUAGGGGUGAAAGGCUAAUCAAGCCUGGUGAUAGCUGGUUCUCCCCGAAAGCUAUUUAGGUAGCGCCUCGGACGAAUACCAUAGGGGGUAGAGCACUGUUUCGGCUAGGGGGUCAUCCCGACUUACCAAACCGAUGCAAACUCCGAAUACCUAUGAGUACUAUCCGGGAGACAGACUGCGGGUGCUAACGUCCGUAGUCAAGAGGAAAACAAUCCAGACCGCCAGCUAAGGCCCCAAAAUCAUAGUUAAGUGGGAAACGAUGUGGGAAGGCAUAGACAGCUAGGAGGUUGGCUUAGAAGCAGCCACCCUUUAAAGAAAGCGUAAUAGCUCACUAGUCGAGUCGGCCUGCGCGGAAGAUGUAACGGGGCUAAAACUAUGUGCCGAAGCUGCGGAUGUAUACUUUGUAUACGUGGUAGGGGAGCGUUCUGUAAGCCGAUGAAGGUGUGUUGAGAAGCAUGCUGGAGGUAUCAGAAGUGCGAAUGCUGACGUGAGUAACGACAAAACGGGUGAAAAACCCGUUCGCCGAAAGACCAAGGGUUCCAGUCCAACGUUAAUCGGGGCUGGGUGAGUCGACCCCUAAGGCGAGGCCGAAAGGCGUAGUCGAUGGGAAAAUGGUUAAUAUUCCAUUACUUCUGUGUAAUGCGAUGAGAGGACGGAGAAGGCUAAAUCAGCCUGGCGUUGGUUGUCCAGGUGAAAGGAUGUAGGCAUGUAUCUUAGGCAAAUCCGGGGUACUCUAUGCUGAGAUCUGAUAGCAAGCUGUACUUGUACAGCGAAGUGGUUGAUGCCAUGCUUCCAGGAAAAGUCUCUAAGCUUCAGUUACACAGGAAUCGUACCCGAAACCGACACAGGUGGUCAGGUCGAGUAGACCAAGGCGCUUGAGAGAACUCUGCUGAAGGAACUAGGCAAAAUGGUACCGUAACUUCGGGAGAAGGUACGCUGUUGUUGGUGAUGGAACUCGCUUCCUGAGCUGACGACAGCCGCAGAAACCAGGCCGCUGCAACUGUUUAUUAAAAACAUAGCACUCUGCAAACACGAAAGUGGACGUAUAGGGUGUGAUGCCUGCCCGGUGCUGGAAGGUUAAUUGAUGGGGUUAGCGUAAGCGAAGCUCUUGAUCGAAGCCCCAGUAAACGGCGGCCGUAACUAUAACGGUCCUAAGGUAGCGAAAUUCCUUGUCGGGUAAGUUCCGACCUGCACGAAUGGCAUAAUGAUGGCGGCGCUGUCUCCAGCAGAGGCUCAGUGAAAUCGAAAUCGCUGUGAAGAUGCAGUGUACCCGCGGCUAGACGGAAAGACCCCGUGAACCUUUACUGCAGCUUGACACUGAACUUUGACCUUACUUGUGUAGGAUAGGUGGGAGGCUUUGAAGCUGGAACGCUAGUUCCAGUGGAGCCGUCCUUGAAAUACCACCCUGGUAAUGUUGAGGUUCUAACUCUGUCCCGUGAUCCGGGACGAGGACCGUGUCUGGUGGGUAGUUUGACUGGGGCGGUCUCCUCCUAAAGAGUAACGGAGGAGUACGAAGGUGCGCUCAGCGUGGUCGGAAAUCACGCGUAGAGUAUAAAGGCAAAAGCGCGCUUAACUGCGAGACCCACAAGUCGAGCAGGUACGAAAGUAGGUCUUAGUGAUCCGGUGGUUCUGUAUGGAAGGGCCAUCGCUCAACGGAUAAAAGGUACUCUGGGGAUAACAGGCUGAUACCGCCCAAGAGUUCAUAUCGACGGCGGUGUUUGGCACCUCGAUGUCGGCUCAUCUCAUCCUGGGGCUGAAGCAGGUCCCAAGGUAUGGCUGUUCGCCAUUUAAAGAGGUACGCGAGCUGGGUUUAGAACGUCGUGAGACAGUUCGGUCCCUAUCUACCGUGGGCGCUGGAAAUUUGAGAGGAUCUGCUCCUAGUACGAGAGGACCAGAGUGGACGAACCUCUGGUGUACCGGUUGUGACGCCAGUCGCAUCGCCGGGUAGCUAUGUUCGGAAGGGAUAACCGCUGAAAGCAUCUAAGCGGGAAGCCUACCUCAAGAUAAGAUUUCCCUAGGACUUUAUGUCCUCUAAAGAGCCGUUCGAGACUAGGACGUUGAUAGGUUGGAUGUGGAAGCAUAGUGAUAUGUGAAGCUGACCAAUACUAAUUGCUCGUGAGGCUUGACUAU